GAAAGACUUGGAGAGGACUUUAAGAUUUUCUUUUUCAGCAGCGGUGAAGCGGCGAAGCGUCCUGCCGUCAGCACCGCAGGAGUCUGCGCUCGAGGUGGUCUGUUUGUGGGUCUGCCGGAGCAGAUUCCCCGGAGCUCCGUGCUGACGGAGGCCAACCUGCAGUACUACGUCAGCCAGUACAGAGCGAGGCUU